rnacentral:rRNA from 1 species
AGCGAACGCUGGCGGCAGGCCUAACACAUGCAAGUCGAACGAUCCUUCGGGAUAGUGGCGGACGGGUGAGUAACACGUGGGAACGUGCCUUUUUGGUUCGGAACAACUCAGGGAAACUUGAGCUAAUACCGAAUGUGCCCUUCGGGGGAAAGAUUUAUCGCCAUUAGAGCGGCCCGCGUCUGAUUAGCUAGUUGGUGAGG